GGAAAUAAUAAGCUUUUAUAUUCAAAUAUUUCCAAGACUCAAUAUUUCUUUUGAGACUCAUAAAGGGAGAGGUUAGAUCGCCAUCCUCUAAGAUACUUUCUGAGAUUCUUGAAUUUCACUUCUACCCAGAGUUGCUGACUUUAUUUCCCAUUUGUCACUUUAGCAAGAGAUGCUUGUGGUAUCAUGUUUAAAACUUAUUACUUCUACAUUGUAUUUAAAAACUGAAUAAAUAUAACAUCCUGUUUCUCUUUCUUAAAGCCUCAGUGAAUGCCUUUGCAGAAAAUCAGAGCCACAAAAGAAACCUGGAAAGACCUUUUCUUCCUACACACUACGGAUUGCCAGUGAUUCAGCAAAAGGAGAGGCAGUUAGAGAAAAAUCAAGAAAAGAUGUGUCCACCUGCUACCCAUCUCUCACCUGUGGCUCUAAGAAGCUGUAGCAUCCAUAGACAGGAAACCAUCUCAGCAUAUAGUUUAAAUCAAGUUAAGAGUAACUUACAGGCCAUAAUCCUGUUGGUGGGGUAAAGGGAUGUCUACCCCCAAGCAUGCAAAGACUUCCUUCGGUGGAAUGGUCAGAUGAGGACAGUUUGUUCCAGUGACCAUGGAAGCAGCUGAACCAGGCACCGUUGAAGCAUUUGGAGCUUAGUCAGAUGUCAAAGAAGUCAAGGUCAUCCACUUCAUCCCAAGCCACUGCCAGUCAUCUUGACUUUUGUCUUGCCCCUGGACUUUGAUGACUCUGGAACAGAAAGCAAAGCUGACAACUUUGUACAACUAUGCUUCACUGAAAUCCAACUCAGGAGCAACUUAUAAACCAUUUGUGAUAUCAUUGGUCUUGUAAGCAAAGGACAAAUAAGAACUAUAUAUUUUUUGUAUGUACGGAUGCAUGCAUGAUUAAAGAAUCUCUAGUAUGUAGGAACA